rnacentral:rRNA from 1 species
GAUGACCGUUGGCGGCGUGCCUAAUACAUGCAAGUCGAGCGAACAGACAAGGAGCUUGCUCCUUUGACGUUAGCGGCGGACGGGUGAGUAACACGUGGGUAACCUACCUAUAAGACUGGGAUAACUUCGGGAAACCGGAGCUAAUACCGGAUAAUAUUUCGAACCGCAUGGUUCGAUAGUGAAAGAUGGUUUUGCUAUCACUUAUAGAUGGACCCGCGCCGUAUUAGCUAGUUGGUAAGGUAACGGCUUACCAAGGCGACGAUACGUAGCCGACCUGAGAGGGUGAUCGGCCACACUGGAACUGAGACACGGUCCAGACUCCUACGGGAGGCAGCAGUAGGGAAUCUUCCGCAAUGGGCGAAAGCCUGACGGAGCAACGCCGCGUGAGUGAUGAAGGUCUUCGGAUCGUAAAACUCUGUUAUUAGGGAAGAACAUACGUGUAAGUAACUAUGCACGUCUUGACGGUACCUAAUCAGAAAGCCACGGCUAACUACGUGCCAGCAGCCGCGGUAAUACGUAGGUGGCAAGCGUUAUCCGGAAUUAUUGGGCGUAAAGCGCGCGUAGGCGGUUUUUUAAGUCUGAUGUGAAAGCCCACGGCUCAACCGUGGAGGGUCAUUGGAAACUGGAAAACUUGAGUGCAGAAGAGGAAAGUGGAAUUCCAUGUGUAGCGGUGAAAUGCGCAGAGAUAUGGAGGAACACCAGUGGCGAAGGCGACUUUCUGGUCUGUAACUGACGCUGAUGUGCGAAAGCGUGGGGAUCAAACAGGAUUAGAUACCCUGGUAGUCCACGCCGUAAACGAUGAGUGCUAAGUGUUAGGGGGUUUCCGCCCCUUAGUGCUGCAGCUAACGCAUUAAGCACUCCGCCUGGGGAGUACGACCGCAAGGUUGAAACUCAAAGGAAUUGACGGGGACCCGCACAAGCGGUGGAGCAUGUGGUUUAAUUCGAAGCAACGCGAAGAACCUUACCAAAUCUUGACAUCCUUUGACAACUCUAGAGAUAGAGCUUUCCCCUUCGGGGGACAAAGUGACAGGUGGUGCAUGGUUGUCGUCAGCUCGUGUCGUGAGAUGUUGGGUUAAGUCCCGCAACGAGCGCAACCCUUAAGCUUAGUUGCCAUCAUUAAGUUGGGCACUCUAAGUUGACUGCCGGUGACAAACCGGAGGAAGGUGGGGAUGACGUCAAAUCAUCAUGCCCCUUAUGAUUUGGGCUACACACGUGCUACAAUGGACAAUACAAAGGGCAGCGAAACCGCGAGGCCAAGCAAAUCCCAUAAAGUUGUUCUCAGUUCGGAUUGUAGUCUGCAACUUGACUACAUGAAGCUGGAAUCGCUAGUAAUCGUAGAUCAGCAUGCUACGGUGAAUACGUUCCCGGGUCU